rnacentral:rRNA from 1 species
UACGUAGGGCGCAAGCGUUAUCCGGAAUUAUUGGGCGUAAAGAGCUCGUAGGCGGUCUGUCGCGUCUGCUGUGAAAACUCAGGGCUUAACCCUGAGCUUGCAGUGGGUACGGGCAGACUAGAGUGCGGUAGGGGAGACUGGAAUUCCUGGUGUAGCGGUGAAAUGCGCAGAUAUCAGGAGGAGCACCGGUGGCGAAGGCGGGUCUCUGGGCCGUAACUGACGCUGAGGAGCGAAAGCAUGGGGAGCGAACAGG